rnacentral:sRNA from 1 species
AGUGGCUCAUUCACCUUCUUAUGUCAGCCCCUUCGGGACGUGCUACAUAAACUUCGAAUGACGCACAACAAGGUGCCUGCCGUCCAACUUCUGAUAAUAGCGUUGCUUUAUCAACCAUCGGGCGAAACGUCGAGUUAGGCACCGCCU